AUGCUGGAAGCACUGGUUCUCGUCUGAACACCGCAGUUAAGCAGCAUCCGGCGCGGUCAGUACUUGGGAGGGUGGACCACCCGAGAACACCGGCUGUUGG